UACGUAGGGGGCAAGCGUUGUCCGGAUUUAUUGGGCGUAAAGAGCUCGUAGGCGGCUUGUCGCGUCGACUGUGAAAUCCCGCGGCUCAACUGCGGGUCUGCAGUCGAUACGGGCAGGCUAGAGUUCGGUAGGGGAGACGUGGAAUUCCUGGUGUAGCGGUGAAAUGCGCAGAUAUCAGGAGGAACACCGAUGGCGAAGGCAGGUCUCUGGGCCGAUACUGACGCUGAGGAGCGAAAGCGUGGGGAGCGAACAGG
rnacentral:rRNA from 1 species